rnacentral:rRNA from 1 species
UAUGAACCGUUAUAACCGGCGAUACCCGAAUGGGGAAACCCAGUGUGAUUCGUCACACUAUCAUUAACUGAAUCCAUAGGUUAAUGAGGCGAACCGGGGGAACUGAAACAUCUAAGUACCCCGAGGAAAAGAAAUCAACCGAGAUUCCCCCAGUAGCGGCGAGCGAACGGGGAGGAGCCCAGAGCCUGAAUCAGCAUGUGUGUUAGUGGAAGCGUCUGGAAAGGCGCGCGAUACAGGGUGACAGCCCCGUACACAAAAGCGCAUGUGCUGUGAGCUCGAUGAGUAGGGCGGGACACGUGGUAUCCUGUCUGAAUAUGGGGGGACCAUCCUCCAAGGCUAAAUACUCCUGACUGACCGAUAGUGAACCAGUACCGUGAGGGAAAGGCGAAAAGAACCCCGGCGAGGGGAGUGAAAAAGAACCUGAAACCGU